rnacentral:rRNA from 1 species
GACGAACCGUGCGAACGUUUUUCGGAAUCACUGGGCUUAAAGGGCGCGUAGGCGGGCCAUCAAGUCCGGGGUGAAAUCCUCCGGCUUAACCGGAGAAUUGCCUUGGAUACUGGUGGUCUUGAGGGAAGUAGGGGUCUGCGGAACUUCCGGUGGAGCGGUGAAAUGUGUUGAUAUCGGAAGGAACGCCGGUGGCGAAAGCGGCGGACUGGGCUUCUUCUGACGCUGAGGCGCGAAAGCUAGGGGAGCAAACGGG